rnacentral:rRNA from 1 species
AGAGUUUGAUCCUGGCUCAGGAUGAAUGCUAGCGGUGUGCCUGAGAUAUGCAAGUCGAGCGAUUAUUUUGCCGCAAGGUGAAAUAGGAGCGGCGGACGGCUGAGUAAUGUACAGGAAUCUGCCCCUUAGUGGAACAUAGCUCCGGGAAACCGGGGGUAAUUUUCCAUGGUAUCGACCUUUGGUCGAUUAAAAGCCUUUACCGGUUGCUAAGGGAUGAGCCUGUAUCCUAUCAGGUAGUUGGUGGGGUAAAAGCCUACCAAGCCUAUGACGGGUAGCUGAUCUGGGAGGAUGAUCAGCCAGAGGGGGACUGAGACACGGCCCCCACUCCUACGGGAGGCAGCAAUCAGGAAUAGUCGGCAAUGGGCGAAAGCCUGACCGCGCGACACCGCGUGUAGGAUUUUGAUAUUAUGUAUCGUAAACUACUGUUGGAGGGGAAGAAGAUCUAUCGUAAGAUGGGUUUGACGGUACCCUCCGAGAAAGGAGCCGCUAACUGCGUGCCAGAAGCGUCGGUAAUACGUGGGCUCCAAGCAUUAUCCGGUUUUAUUGGGCGUAAAGGGUCGUGUAGACUGUUUGAUAAGGUAUCUUUUAAAGCUCACCGCUUAACGGUGAGUUGGGGAUACGACUGUCAUGACUAGAGUUUCUUCAAGGGUAAUCGGAACUCAGAGAGGAGUAGUGAAAUGCGUUGAUACUCUGGGGAACACCAAUGGCGAAGGCAGAUUACUGGGAGGAAGCUGACGUUGAGACACGAAAGCUAGGGUAGCGAAGCAGAUUAGAGACCUGCGUAGUCCUAGCCGUAAACGAAUGUCUGCUAUCUGCAUCUUCAUUUUUGCCGCAAGGCAGAGAUUAGGUGUGGAAAAGGUAACCCGUUAAGCAGAUCGCCUGGGGAGUACUGCCGCAAGGUUAAAACUCAAAGGAAUUGGCGGGGAGGCACACAACCAGUGGAACAUGUGGUUCAAUUUGAUACAAACCAAAGAACCUCACCAAGUUUUGACAUGCUAGCGUCCAGUUCUGUGGAAACAUGGAAUGUUCGCAAGAAGGCUAGCACAGGUGCUGCAUGGCUGUCGUCAGCUCGUUCCGUGAGGAGUGCCCUUAAGUGGGACAACGA